GACGAACGCUGGCGGCGUGCUUAACACAUGCAAGUCGAACGGGAAGGCCCUGCUUUUGUGGGGUGCUCGAGUGGCGAACGGGUGAGUAACACGUGAGUAACCUGCCCUUGACUUUGGGAUAACUUCAGGAAACUGGGGCUAAUACCGGAUAGGAGCUCCUGCUGCAUGGUGGGGGUUGGAAAGUUUCGGCGGUUGGGGAUGGACUCGCGGCUUAUCAGCUUGUUGGUGGGGUAGUGGCUUACCAAGGCUUUGACGGGUAGCCGGCCUGAGAGGGUGACCGGCCACAUUGGGACUGAGAGACGGACCAGACUCCUACGGGAGGCAGCAGUGGGGAAUAUUGCACAAUGGGCGGAAGCCUGAUGCAGCAACGCCGCGUGCGGGAUGACGGCCUUCGGGUUGUAAACCGCUUUCGCCUGUGACGAAGCGUGAGUGACGGUAAUGGGUAAAGAAGCACCGGCUAACUACGUG
rnacentral:rRNA from 1 species